rnacentral:tRNA from 1 species
GGGCGUCCGGCAGCCAACAACACCGUUGCGGACUCAUAAUCCGUCGGCCGUGGGUUCGAGUCCCACCCGCCCCA